AGUGAUCUGCAUAUAAUCCAACUCAGAUUUUGUAUUAAAUUAUAAAAUUUCUAUUUAAAAACUCCAUAAAAUCCGGUUAAAAACCAAUAAAAUUGGCAUUGACAUUUAAUGCUUGACUCGAAAAAAAACUAGAUAAAUCUAAUGAUCUUUUAUUUUGUUUUAAUUUAAAUUUAAUUUCAUGAUAAUUAUUAUUAUUUUUAUUUUAUUUUUUGUAGAUAGAUUAUUCAAGUAAUUGUUAUUUCAUGAAACUGAAAUAAAAAUCUAUAUGUAUUUGGCAAAUAGAAAAUAAUUUUUAUAUUAAAUUUUUCAAUGGUAAAUAAUAUUAUAAUAAUAUAUUAUCUGUUUUAUUAAAAGAAUAUUAAGUAUAAACUUAGAUUUUAAUUAGUAGUCAUAAUAGUAAGAAUAAAGGUGGAUAUUAAUUCAUUGGAUUAACAAAUGUAUAAUGUAUAAGUAAUGUAUUAUUUGUUGAUUAAUAACAUAUAUUGUCCGUAACAAAAUGUCUAGAUGAUUUAAAAAAAAAAUUGUUGUUUAUUUUACAGAUUUUAAUCGACAUAUAUCAAUAAUUUUAUUUGUACACUCUCAUAAAUGUUGUAGUCGUGGAUCCUAGAAUAUAGGAAUCAAAGGAAACCGUGUAAAGUAUUUGGGGUUUUUUAGGUAGGUCAAAAUUGUUAAAAAGGUGGUUACAAAAUACUCCAUCUGUUUCAUAAUACUUGAUGUUUUGCCUUAGUGCACAAAGAUUAAGAAAACUACAUUUUUCUAAAAAAUUAUUUUAAAGACAUAAUUUUAAAAUCUGUUAACCAAUUAUAAAAAAGACUGUAAAAUUCAAUUGGUUGAACAGUUUCCAAUAAAGUUAAAGUUAACAUUAAAAUCUCAAAACUUUAUGUAAAUUGAAACAAAAUAAUCCUUCUAAAACAUCAUCUAUAUUGAAACGGAGAGAGUAUUUUGUAACAACCUUUUAUGAGAAAAUAAUUGUUAGACUAAACAAAUAUCAAUAGGUCAUAAUUAUAAUUUAAUAGAAUAGAUUAAAGAAUUAUCAAAAUAAAUAAAUCUAUGUAUUAUGAAAAUACUAUAAAGUGUGAUUAAAAUAGAUUAUAUAAUUAACUUUCAGAAAGUAAAGAAUAUGUAAAAUGUGUAAAGCAAUUAAAAAUAAAUAAUCAAUAAUAGAAAAAUAUAAAAGAUGUCAAAUUAUAAUAGUAAUUAAAAUUCUGUGAAAUUUUAUAAAUUUAUAAAAAAAUUUAAAAAUUAAAUUGUAUUAAAUUUAAACUUUAAUAUAUAUUAAUGAUGAUAACUACUUUAACUAACAUAGAAUGAAAGAUAUUAAAACAUAUUCAAAAUUAAUAAGGAUAAUAAAAAUAUAGAAAACUAAUAUUGUGAUCAAAAAUAUUUUUAUAAUUAAAAUCCCCAAUUUGAGAAUAUUACCAACAAAAUGAUAGAUAAGUAAUAAUAUAACAAAUAUAAAAUCCAAAACAUAUUAAAUGACUGUAAAUAGUUAAAACUAGGUGAAAUGCAUGAAAUCUCCAUAAUUUAAAACAAUUAUUCUACAUUUUUUUCAAAAAAUUGUAAAUUAUACACCAUAUAACUAUAAAUAUAAUAACUAAUUGUUUAAUGAGAAAUUACCUAGGGUAGCCUUUUUUAGUUUAUCUUCACAAAAAUAGUCAUCAAUGAAGAAAAUGACCAAAAUACGCUUUUAUUAAAGGUUAAAAAUAACCCUAGGGUACAUUUUUACCCUAGAGUUAAUUAAUCUAGACUUAGAGUUUAGAGUUAAGGGGUGAGUUUUUGGGACAGAGUUUCAAAUUUAAAAAAAAAAAAUAUAUUAAAAAUUUCAAAAUAAAAAAGGUUAUUUUGGUCAUUUUCUUUCUUGAGGGCUUGUGACAAAAACUUAAAAAGAGUUAUUUGAUAGAAUUGCCUUUGUUUAAUUGUAACAUGCAAUUUUUUAAAACCAUACAAAUGUUAUCAUAUUUUUUUAAUAAACAUAUAAGUUUUUUUUGUUCCUUAAUAUUUUUUAGUUUUCUGGUAUUUAAUAUUAUUAUGCAUAGGAAUAUUUUUUAAAUAACAAUAAAUAUAUACACACAUAUUUUGGAUAGAAUAUAAACAUGUAACAAUCUAGUUGAUAAUUAAUGAUUACAUAUAUAUAUUACUUCUUUAAAAUUAUUAGAUUAAACAAAAUAUUUUAGAUUUUCAUUUAAAUAGCACACUUUAUAAACAAAAUUACAAGAAGAAAAAAAUCACAUUCUUUUGAGACAAGACUACUAAACAACUUAAGGUUAAAGACAUCACAUUGUUGUUUAAGAAAACCAUGAAGAUACAGACAGCUCUCAUGUGCAUAUUCAUCAUCUCCCUAUUUACUUUACAUCAGUGUGCAAGGACGGAUAUUAGAGUUAUAUAUGAAUCAAAGCUAAUCAUAGACUCAAAUUGUAUGCAUACAAAAUGGUUUAAGAAAUGGGGUUGGUGUUGUGUAGCCUUAAAAGGUGAUCCUUGUUGGCCCGACAAAGCCGCAUGUGAUUCAAAAUGUCCUCGUCCGCAUCUAUUCUACUAAAACAGCAGUGUGACCAAUUAAUAAAAAGUUAUGUUCAAUUAAAAAUAACUGAAUUUUA